CAAAUAAGAUACUUAUGAGUUAUCUAGUAGAUCAGUAUCACGCUAAUAAAUUUUUAAGUAUUUCAUCCGGUCUUAAAGAUAUUGAUUAGAUCGAAAAAUGAUGUAAUUCAUGUAAUUAUUUUCGAGUUCAUGCAAAAUAAGUUUAACGAAGAUAAUACACACAUAUAAAAUGCAAUGCAUCUUUAUCUUUAGAUAACAAUAAAUAUUUAGUUUUAUAUGCGCGCAAAUAGGUUCCUAAUGAACAUAUUCGCUAAAUAUCAAAAUGCAAUACGAUAUAUAAUUGCAAAUUGUUAAGACCAGUUUCAUUAUCAACUGACCCCGCGUAUCAACAACUUCAUAGAAAUAAAUUUACAAUUUAAUGUAAUUCCGAUAAAAAAUAGAGUAUAUUAAAUGACCACGAAAGUCAUUUCGCUAUUCCACUUUCCACGCAUCAAUCACCAGAAUUUCAUUACAUUUUGCAUGUCAUCCAUCAGCUAGCUGGUUAUUUUUUACUUCUCUCAUUGCGAAGCAUUAAAAAUCAUACAAACUCAUCAUUGUCAGUAAGAGCGGAAAUAUAAUCUCUUAACAUGAUGAUUAGACGUAUCUAUAGCGGCGCUGAAUUAACGAUAUUUUUUGGCGUAAUUUGCCACUUUACUUGCGAAAGCUUGCAUAUGAAUAUAUAUACAAGCUGUACAAAAGAAUUGGGGACAAACUUUAGUAACAUGUAGUACACAUCAAAAUAAGCAAAAAGAUCUUAAGACACGUUGAUCCGAAAGCCAUUAAUUAAUAAAUUAAAAAGAAUUGCGAGAAAACUCAACGAAUUGUGUAUGUUGAAAUGAACAGGGAAAAUAUUAAAUAUAUACUGUAAACUUUACAGGUAUGUGGAAAUAAUAUCUUACUGACAAAAAUACCUUGUAACACCGAAACUGAUGGUUUUUUGAUCCAUGUUUAUCAUGACCGUUUUGCUCGCUUUCAUGAAUACUAUAUGCUCCUAAAGUCUGUUCCUAAUUCUUUCGUACACCCUGUAUUUGUGUUAUAUCUAGUAUUAUUAUUAGCAUUAUUUUCUCAUCUUAUUUUAUAUACGCUUCUAAAAUUAAUCCUACGCUGUAAAAAGGACUAACGAUUUUUUACGAUUAAACCAAAGAAGAGCAAAUAUUGUAAACUCGAUAGCAUGGACGAUAAGAAUUAUUCAUUUUUGAUAUUGUUUUCUCGAAAACGACGUAUCACGUCACGAAUGAUAGAGUUGAAUAAACGAUAAACUUUGUAUCUUCGUACUUAUUUCAAUUACAUCAGAUUGCAUCAUUGGCAGACUCCGCAGUGCUAAUAAUAAAUAAAAAACAUAAUUUAACAUAGAAUAACUCAUUUUUAUUACAUCGUUCGUGCUUUGCGGCAAGUUUGUUUUUCUUUCGUAUUCUUUGCGGCUUUAAAUUUAUAAACUAUAUAACUUAAGAAGCUACUUAGAGAUUUCAUUAGAAAUUUAUCUAACUUCAGAACAAAAAUGAUAAAUCCAUCGAUCUAAAUCAAUAGCAAUAUGAAAGUCUUAGGAUAAAAGUCAUUUUUUCGUUCACGAUUUACUGCUAAUCUCAAGGUCUUUUUGGUCGAUUAGAUAUAUGAUUACAUUGCAUCUAAAUGUUACAAGGAGAUGUUGCCGUCCCAGACGUCGUUGAAGCUGCCAAAGAUGCGGAUAUUCUUAUUUUCGUAAUACCUCAUCAGUUUAUACGAACACUAUGUGCAACAUUGCUCGGUAAAAUUAAACCAACCGCGGUUGGUGUAUCAUUAAUUAAGGGUUUUGAUCGAGGUGAUGGAACGAAUAUCGAAUUAAUUUCCAAAAUCAUUGAAAAAAAUUUAAGAAUCCAAUGUUACGUUUUAAUGGGAGCAAAUCUAGCUAACGAAGUUGCCGAGGAGAAGUUCUGUGAAACAACUAUUGGUUGUAGAGAUAAACGUUUGGCCCCAGUGUUAAGGGACCUUAUUCAAACUCCUAAUUUCAGAGUUGUAGUUGUUGAAGACUGUGAAGCUGUUGAAGUAUGUGGUGCAUUAAAGAAUAUCGUGGCAUGCGCCGCUGGUUUCGUAGAUGGUAUGGGACUAGGUGAUAAUACAAAAGCUGCUGUUAUCAGAUUGGGAUUAAUGGAAAUGGUCAAGUUCGUAGACACAUUUUACAGUGGCUCGAAACUUUCAACGUUCUUCGAAAGUUGCGGUGUAGCAGAUUUGAUAACUACUUGCUACGGUGGAAGAAAUCGCAGAGUUUGCGAGCAAUAUGUUAAAACUGGAAAAACUAUUAGGCAGCUCGAAGAGGAACUUUUAGGUGGUCAAAAAUUGCAAGGACCAGCCACAGCUGAUGAAGUUCACGGAAUGCUAAAAGCUAAGAAUUUGCUAGAAAAAUUCCCGUUAUUUACUGCUGUACACCGCAUCUGCACUGAACAAAUAAGACCAGCAGAUUUACUUGACCAAAUUCGUAAUCAUCCUGAACAUGUGUUUGCACCAAAAACAUUGUAUAUGUACUAAGUAUUGUCCUCAUCUUCCCUUUUUAUCAUUUUUUGUGUUGAGAAACUGUAAAAAUUGUUUUUUAACAAGUACAAAACCCACUUAUAUCGGGUGAGAUAGAUAUCGGCCGUAUAUACGGAUGAGAUGCUGUAUCAUAUAGAAAUGUACAAAGAUAGGUGAGAACUGAUUAACACAUUCCAUCAAUAUAAAAGGAUAACAUUCCAAAUAAGAUGAAGAUCGAAGGUGGUAAAUGAAUACUAUAAGUUACGGAAUGUAAACAUCUUGACAGCUCUAAGAAAACACUUAGAAAUCAUUAAAAGGAAAAAUCAAUUAUUAGAAAAAAUGUAAUAUUACAGAUAUUUUGCAAUAAUUAGUUAUAAUUGGCUACUGUUUUUCUCCUGAUGAUUAAUAUACAAUUGUUCUAUAAAAUAUGUAA